GGCCGGUUAGCUCAGUUGGUUAGAGCGUGGUGCUAACAACACCAAGGUUGCUGGUUCGAUCCCUGCAUCAUGGGCCA